CGCCCAAUAGCUAGCUCACCCCUACAAAACCAAUAUUACCCUAUUAAUAACCCCUAAUACACUUAGACUCAUAAACAAACCAUUUUUCCUCCUUAGUACGGGCGACGGAAAAGGAACCUGAAGCAAUAGAGAAAGUACCGCAAGGGAAAGCUGAAAGAGGAAUGAAACAACCCAGUAAAGCACUAAAAAGCAGAGACACAACCUCGUACCUUUUGCAUCAUGAUUUAGCCAGCACCCCUUAAGCAAAGAGAAUUUUAGUUUAAUACCCCGAAACUAGGUGAGCUACUCCAAGACAGCCUAAUCAAUAGGGCGCCCCCGUCUCUGUGGCAAAAGAGUGGGAAGAGCUUUGAGUAGAGGUGACAGACCUACCGAACCUAGUAAUAGCUGGUUGCCUGGGAAUUGGAUAGAAGUUCAGCCUCAUAAGUUCUUCCCUCGCCCUGUCCAACCGGCCUAUUCCUGAGACCAGAAGAAAUUUUGAGAGUUAGUCAAAGGGGGUACAGCCCCUUUGAAACAAGACACAACUUUUCCAGGAGGAUAAAGAUCAUAAUAAUUUUAAGGCAAAAUGCUAUGGUGGGCCUAAAAGCAGCCAUCCUAAUAGAAAGCGUUAAAGCUCAAGCAUUAAUUAACCCCUACAAUACUGAUAAUAGAUCUAAAACCCCUAAACUUACCAGGCCGCUCCAUGCCCCCAUGGAAGCGACCAUGCUAAUAUGAGUAAUAAGAGAGCCCAAACUCUCUCCCAGCACAUGUGUAAAUCGGAACGGACCCCCCACCGAACCUUAACGGUCCCAAACAAAGAGGGCAAUGAGCAAAAAACCAAACAACAAGAAAAACACCCACUAUAACACCGUUAACCCCACACCGGCGUGCCAACAAGGAAAGACUAAAAGAAAAAGAAGGAACUCGGCAAACACACAAACUAAGCCUCGCCUGUUUACCAAAAACAUCGCCUCUUGAAAA
rnacentral:rRNA from 1 species